AGGACGAACGCUGGCGGCGUGCUUAACACAUGCAAGUCGAGCGGAAAGGCCCUUCGGGGUACUCGAGCGGCGAACGGGUGAGUAACACGUGAGCAACCUGCCCUUAGCUCCGGGAUAGCUCCGGGAAACCGGAAUUAAUACCGGAUACGACCACAGCCGACAUCUGCUGUGGUGGAAAGGAUUCCGGCUAAGGAUGGGCUCGCGGCCUAUCAGCUAGUUGGUGGAGUAACGGCCCACCAAGGCGACG
rnacentral:rRNA from 1 species